AAAAACACAAAGGGGACUAAAUCGAAAGUUAAAAUAGAAUUAGCGGGCCAUAAAUAUAGUUAAAAAAACACGGAGGGUCCAAACUGCAAGUCGCGAAUUACAAGGGGGCCAGAUUGGAAAUUAUUCCAUUCCCCAAAACGCAGCGCAGUGAUGCGAACCCAAAUGAGGCAAUAUCAAAAUGUAAGGAAAAAAAUUAAAAAUAAAAAAAGGCCAAUUUAAAAACCAUGCAAGAGCAGAAGGGCCUUUUCCGCAAUAUACCCAAAUGUUGGAGAACGCGCGGAUCUUCCCCCGGGUUGGGUCACCGCGCGGGUCAGAGGCUUCUGAACGGCGUCGUUUUUAUAAUCUGCCUAAAAAAUAAAAAAACCCUAAACUAACCUAAUCUACCAUUUUAAAGAAAAGCCUAAGGACUCCCCUCUCAACUCCGCGCCGCAAUCUCGAAAUCCCCAUUUAUCUCCGAUUUCGGACGGAGUGAACGGAGCUCCGCUGAUAUGCCUUUGCGAAGGUAAGGGUUCCCUUCCCC
rnacentral:lncRNA from 1 species